CAGGACGAACGCUGGCGGCAUGCCUAACACAUGCAAGUCGAACGGAGUAUCAGGGGCUUGCUCUUGAUACUAGUGGCGAACGGGUGAGUAACGCGUGAGCAACCUGCCUUCAAAACCGGGAUAACACAGAGAAAUUUGUGCUAAUACCGGAUAAGACCACAGUGUCGCAUGACACAGUGGUAAAAACUCAGGUGAUUGAAGAGGGGCUCGCGACCCAUUAGCUUGUUGGCGGGAUAACAGCCCACCAAGGCGACGAUGGGUAGCCGACUUGAGAGAGUGAUCGGCCACACUGGAACUGAGACACGGUCCAGACUCCUACGGGAGGCAGCAGUGGGGAAUAUUGGGCAAUGGAGGAAACUCUUUAACCCCCAGCAAUGCCGCGUGAGUGAAGAAGGUCGUAAGAUUGUAAAGCUCUUUAAUUGGGGACGAAGACAGUGACGGUACCCAAAGAAUAAGCCCCGGCUAACUACGUGCCAGCCGCAGC
rnacentral:rRNA from 1 species